rnacentral:rRNA from 1 species
UGGGGAAUAUUGCACAAUGGGGGAAACCCUGAUGCAGCGACGCCGCGUGAACGAAGAAGGUAUUCGUAUCGUAAAGUUCUGUCCUAUGGGAAGAUAAUGACAGUACCAUAGAAGAAAGCUCCGGCUAAAUACGUGCCAGCAGCCGCGGUAAUACGUAUGGAGCGAGCGUUGUCCGGAAUUAUUGGGCGUAAAGGGUACGCAGGCGGUUUAAUAAGUCGAAUGUUAAAGAUCGGGGCUCAACCCCGCAAAGCAUUGGAAACUGAUAAACUGUAGUAGUGGAGAGGAAAGUGGAAUUCCUAGUGUAGUGGUGAAAUACGUAGAUAUUAGGAGGAAUACCAGUAGCGAAGGCGACUUUCUGGACACAAACUGACGCUGAGGUACGAAAGCGUGGGGAGCAAACAGG